rnacentral:rRNA from 1 species
AAAUUGAAGAGUUUGAUCAUGGCUCAGAUUGAACGCUGGCGGCAGGCCUAACACAUGCAAGUCGAACGGUAACAGGAAACAGCUUGCUGUUUCGCUGACGAGUGGCAGACGGGUGAGUAAUGUCUGGGAAACUGCCCGAUGGAGGGGGAUAACUACUGGAAACGGUAGCUAAUACCGCAUAACGUCGCAAGACCAAAGAGGGGGACCUUCGGGCCUCUUGCUAUCGGAUGUGCCCAGAUGGGAUUAGCUAGUAGGUGGGGUAACGGCUCACCUAGGCGACGAUCCCUAGCUGGUCUGAGAGGAUGACCAGCCACACUGGAACUGAGACACGGUCCAGACUCCUACGGGAGGCAGCAGUGGGGAAUAUUGCACAAUGGGCGCAAGCCUGAUGCAGCCAUGCCGCGUGUAUGAAGAAGGCCUUCGGGUUGUAAAGUACUUUCAGCGGGGAGGAAGGGAGUAAAGUUAAUACCUUU